AUACCUUGACAUGUACUUUUAGUUCCUGAUUAGCGAAUUAUUGCUGCAAGGACCAAAAAGCUGAUUGAAAGUACAUUAUACUCUAAAAGGGGUUGAUCGCUGUCCCCGAACAGAUAAAUUAAUGUUAGCUUUCAAAAAACUUUCUGCUAAUCAUAGUAUGUAUUUCUCAGAAUAUGGUAAAAUUUCAGUCUGAUUCUUAGCCUUUCCCCUUUUAUUCCUUUUGACUUAUUUUAAAAAAUUAUAUAUGUACGCAUAUAUAUAUAUGCAUAUAUAUGUAUGUGUGUGUGUGUAUAUAUAUAUGUUUUUGUUGUUGUUAGGUGCCAUCAAGUUUGUUCCAACUCAUAGCGACCCUGCGUACAACAGAACAAAACACUGCCCGGUCCUGCGCCAUCCUCACGAUCCUUGUUAUGCUUGAGGCUGUCUUUGUAGCCACUGUGUCAAUCCAUUUUGUUGAGAGUCUUCCUUUUUUUUGCUUAACCUCCACAUUACCAAGCAUGAUGUUCUUCUCCAGGCACUGACCCCUCCUGAUAAUAUGUCUCACCAUUCAUGCUUCCAAGGAGCAUUCUGGUUGUACUUCUUCCAAGACAAAUUGGUUUGUUCUUUUGGUAGUGUAUGUGUGUGUGUGUAUAUAUAUAUACACACACACACACACACACACACAUACGUAUAUAUAUAUCAGGAGCCCUGGUAGUGAAAAGGUUAAGCCCUCAGCUGCUAACCAAAAGGUUGGUGGUCCAAACCUAUCAGCUGCUCCAUGAGAGAAAGAUGUAGCAGUCUGCCUCCAUAAAAAUCGAUAGCCUGAAAACCCUAUGAGGCAGUUUUACUCUGUGUUAUAGGGUCACUGUGAGUCAGAAUCGAGUUCAUAGCAAUGGGUUUGUUUUUUGGGGGGUUUUGGUGUAUAUACAUAUGAGCUCAGCUGCAGACCAAAAGGUUGGCAGUUAGAAUCUAUCUGCUGCUCCUUGGAAACCCUAUGGGGCAGUUCUACUCUGUCCUAUGUGGUCCCUAUGAACCGACUCGAUGACAAUGGGUAUAUAUAUAUGUUUUACAUUUUUAUUAACGCCUUUUUCUGUAAAAUGCCCAGAUUUUAUUGUUUUUUCUCCAAAUGUAGAUUUUAUUUCCACCUAUGUGGUAUAUAAAUUUCUUAUUUCAUUUCAAUGAAAUCAAAUAGGUCAAUUCCAAGGCACCUUACUCCUCCUGUGAAAUUUGAUUUAUUGGAUCAUAGAAUAACCUUGGUAUUUUCUGACAUAUUAACUGUGUAAUUUACUAAAUAUCCCCCUAGAUUUCAGACAGAAAAUACAAUUCUAUAAAACUGAUGUCGUAACAAGUUCAUAGUGUCCUAAUUAAACAGAUUUACAAUCAUUUGGGGAGAGCUGUGUUAAUAUUUGAUUUAUAAAUAUGCAUAUGAAUGACCCUGUUUUACAUAUGGUUAAAUGGGUGAAAUCUGUCUUUAUUUGUGAAAUUUUCCAUUAAAUUUAACAAAUGGUCAACUCAUUUAAAUGAUUACCUGUAUUCACGCUUCUUGUACGAGAUCUGAUUUGCCGUUUGUAGAUUACAUCGUUGGUUGUCACUUUCUCACUUGUUUGGUUCCUUUGCUGUUUGGAACGUUGAUUACAGUGUGGUCACUACCCUUGUGGUUUCUGUGUAUUUCCUUUCCCCUCCUUUUCUAGCAGUAUACCACAGAGAUUUGGCACAGCAGUUGCAAAAACUAUUGCUUAAAAAUAAAACUGGGUAUUAUUUUCAGAUUUCAACUAGCCACAGCUUCCUGUCUUUCAUCAUAUGAGGGGUUGAGGCUGUACCAAAUCUGUAGUGAGGAUUUUGAAAAUAUGCUCCCUCAGUGGCAUGAAAUUAUACCACUCAGGUCUUCUGGUGUAGGAGCAAAGUUGACUGAAGAACCCAGCUUCUGCUCUUCUAGGUCCACUAUUGUGUUCAUGUUAAGGCCACCCUUCUGGAGAUCUGCUCCAUGCCAAGAAAUGAACACAAUGAGGCUUCCCAUAUAGACCCGUUCCUGUGAUACAUGGGGCCCCUUCAUUGGAGGACUGGGUGACUUUGGCUUGAGAACUUUUUGUUGGCCUGGUCAAACUUUUCUUGGUGCAUCCAUGCAAUCUUAGACUCCUCUUGGCCAAAUCUCCUUCCUUCCCCUGCUCCUUCACAGGAAUCAAAUCUGCAUCAUGUUCUGGGAGAUCUCCUUGGCUCUUCCUGCUCCCUUCCCUUGUUGUUGUUGUUGUUAGCAGCCCUAGAGUCAGCCGCGGACUCAUGGCAACCCGAGGCAUAACAAAUUGAAACUCUGCCUUGUCCUUCACCAUCCCCAUGAUUGGUUGUGGAUCAGACCUGUGUGAUCCAUAAGGUUUUCAUUGGCUGACUUCCUACUGACAGACAGGUGGUGGUUGUUCACGAGCUACAUUGGCUGGGAAAUGAGCCCUGCAAGGUGAGAAUUCUACCACUGAACCAUCAUUUCCCUUGAUCCCCCAAUAAAUCUCUUGUACAUUUAAUCCUGGCUUGACAUCUACUGCUCAGAGAACCUUAGUGAACACAAAUGCAAACUAAGCCAUCUCUAUAUUAAUUUAAAAGUUUCCUUUCUUUUCUGCAAUUGAAGUAAUUAUUCGAAAAUGUUUGACAGGAGAGCCUACUGUCUACACGGUGAAGAAUUGGUUUAUCUGUGUGCUUCAUUUUCUAUGUAUGUACACAGCAGCGAAGGAGCCCUUGUGGUGCAAUGGUUAAGUGCUUGGUUGCUAACCAAAAGGUUGGCAAUUUGAACCCACCCAGUGAUUCCGAGGUACAAAGACCUGGCAACCUACUCCUGUAAGGAUUACAGCCUAGUAGUCCCUAUGGAGCAAUUCUGCUCUGUUUUUUUAUAGAUGAAGGCUCUGCUUUGCCUGGUGCAUUUCUAUGUGUGAUUUUGGAAAUUGGAGAGCAAAAAAGGAAAACAAAGCCUCCUUCUCCCCCUCCUACCCCGAAAAUUAAACCCAAACAUGUGAAGGCUAGCGUGUGUAUCUUUCGUAGUGAUUUGUUAAAUGUAUUGGAGAAAAAAUGGAAGUUACCUUUGUUAAUCUCCAUCCUAUAAUUUAAUCUUUUGUUUAUUUCCUAAUCAAAAAUAUCCCUGGCAAUAGUGAUUAUUUCACCCUGCACAGGAGUGAUUUUUUUCCCUCCAGCAACAUCUUACAUCCAAAGACAAGAAGAAUCUGAAUUGUAUUUUUUUCUUUUUGUUACUCCCUCAUAAACUUUGUCAGAAAGCAAGGGAUUUACUCCUCCUCCAGCAUUAUGCAGCUGCUUUCUCCAGAUCUCUGUAUGAGCAAGAGCCAGAGAGAGAGCGCAGGAGUGAGUGAGUGUGUGCUCAGAGCAAGCAUAAGCUUGAUGGAGCGCGCGUGGCUGCCAGAGCAGAGUAAGUUCUCUAUUUUCUGAUGUAAUACACAGAUGUUUCAAUUUCAGGGUGUUACCCAGAAAGCAAGGAGAGGAUCACCAUGGGAACCAGAACUAGUUUUACAGAGUGAUUUGGUUUGCCCACUUACUAAAUACAUAGUCAUAGGCUAAACCUUGAGUCACUGUCUUCUAAGUGUGGUUAAUGACUACCUAUGAUGUGGGGGCAGUUGUGAAUAUUAAAUGAAAUGGAGUAUUGGCACCAGUUAGUGUGGUGCCUGACGGGUAGGAAGCUCCCUGUGUUGGUUGCUCUGUGUGGGUGUUGGUUUGGCCGGUGGUGUGGUACCUGUGGUGGUGUGUGGUGGCAGCGGUUGUGGUGAGGGUUUGAUGUUGUCCUUUUAGGAAAGAAAGCUACACACUGACCUCCAAGCAAAAUACAAUAACUCUGUCCAAACCAGAUAAAAGGACAAUAGCUGAUUACUAAAUUCCGUUGUAAAUGAACAUGAAAGGAGAAUUUUGGCAUCCUUUUCUUUGGUGAAAGAAGUAAAUGUAAUCCUGCCACCUGUCCUCCAUUCUAAUUUACACUGGAACUUGAUCUUGGGAUGAAUUGCUUUCUUGUCUAGUAUUCUAAGCCUAUUGCAUUGCCUUUAGAUAUCCACCCCCCACCCCAUCUUCCUUCUCUAUGCUCAAAGCACACAUGAGGCUGAGGAAGGCUCUCUACCUGGCUCAUAAACCUGUUGCUGUCUUUCUCAGAGGCCCAACUUACUCACAUUUGCCUCUUGGCAUCUUCAAGGCAAUCUCUCUUUGUCUCUGCUUAUAAAACACAUAGCUUUCUCUCCCCAUGCAUGGCAAGGAAUGUAGCAAAUGGCCAACAGCUAGGGCUCUGGAGUCUACUUUUAAUACAUAUUGCCUCAAAUCUGGGGGACUUUGAGCAGAAUUUUUAACAUCUCUAGUCAUUAGUGAAGGAGCACUGGUGACACAGUGUUAAGGGCUCGGCUGCUGAAUCCACCAGCCACUCUUUAGAAACUCUUUGGGGCAGUUCUUCUCUGUCCUGUAGGGUCUCCAUGAACCGGAAUUGAUUCAAUGGCAAUGGGUUAGUCUUUAGUAAAGGAGCCCUGGUGGUGCAGUGGUUAAGCUCUCCACUGCUAACCAAAACGUCGGCAGUUCAAACACACCAGCCACUCCUCAGGAGAAAUGUGGCAGUCUGCUUCCAUAAAGACUUACAGCCUUGGAAACCCUAUGGGGCAGUUCUACUCUGUCCUAUUGGGUCUCUAUGGAUCAGAAUCAACUCAGUGGCAGUGGUUUUGUUUUUUGGCUCAAGUAAGUGAGUGAAAUUUGAGAAUGAUAACUUGAAAUUACGUUGGUUUUCAUUUUCCUUGUUGGGUGUUCUUCAAUGUGACAAUGCUUAGAGCAAAUGUCACUAUAUUACCAACAGCUUUGCAACACCCUGAUUACAGCAGACAGAUGCACAGUGAGAACGCAUGGAAAACGCUUUCAGGAUUGCAGAUGAAAGGCUCCACAAAACGACUUAGAGUGGUCAGCCAUCACACUUACCUCCAAGUGCCCAUGAACUCGUGUAGUGCUUGACUUUGGUUAAGAAAAUUAAAUAUGGUGAUGGAGGUUGCAUACAUUCAGGACUAGGAUAAAAUGGAAGAUAAUGACAAUCAGUCAAACAAGAAGUAUUUCUUCUGACAGGUGUAUUGUAGCCUGGAGAAUGAAUAAUGAAAGAAAUGACAAUAAUUAAAAUGUGUUUACUUAAGUGAAGAAUUGCAUGAAAUGUGGUUGUGUGAUAAAAACCUAAUUAUGGGCUAUACUUGGCACAUAAAUAUGACACUUACGUUGAGGGGUAAUUAAUUUGCUCAGACAGGUGGAGUGAUGGGUCACCUGUGGCUCUGCCUUCCAUGCUUACUUCAGACAUGUCCAAUUAUGAAACAGGGAUACUUAACCUACUAGCAUUUACAGUUUUCCCAAGCCAGAAUACUCAUUUUAGUAGCUGUUAGGUAGCUGUAAUUUGGAAUUUAUAAGCAGAGAGCCUGUGUAUAAGGACACGUGACAGCAUGAGGAGUUGUAGACAGAAUGUGUCCCUGAAGCAAGAUGCUUCACUGUGCAUUUUCUAUCUUCUUUUUCUAACUUGGAGCCUUCAAAGGGAUCAUUACCUAAAACAGGCAGUAAAUAUCAUGUAGAGUAGUAAAACGCUUUGACAUGCAUCAGAAUCACCUGGAGGACUUAUUAAAUCACAGGUAGUUGAGCUCCAGCCCCAGAGUUUCUGAUUUGGAAGUUCUGGGAUAAAACAAAAACCAAACCAAACCCAUUUCCUUUGAGUCGAUCCUGACUCAUAGCAACUGUUUUAGUCAUAUGAUGCUGCUGUAACAGAAAUACCGUAAGUGGAUGGCUUCAACAAACAGAAGUUUAUUCUCUCACAGUCCCAUAGGCUAAAAGUCCAAAUUCAGGGCAUCAGCUCCAGGGGAAGGCUUUCUCUUUCUCUGUCAGCUCUGGAGGAAGGUCCUUGUCAUCAAUCUUCUUCUGGUCUAGGAGCUUCUCUGCACAGGAACCCUGAAUCCAAAGGAUGAACUCUGCUCCUGGCAUUGCUUUCUUGGUGGUUUGAGGGCCCCCUGUCUCUCCGCUUGCUUCUGUCUUUUAUGUCUCAAAAGAGAUUGGCUUAAGACACUGUCUAAUCUUGUAGAUUCCAUCAACAUAACUGUCACUAAUUCAUCUCAUUAACAUCAUAAUGAUAGGAUUUACAACACACAGGAAAAUCACAUCAGAUGACAAAAUGGUAAACAAUCAUACAAUACUGGGAAUCAUGACUUAGCUAAGUUAACAGAUAUUUUGGGGGGGGACACAAUUCAAUCCAUGAGGUUCCAUGCUUUGCCCCCCCCAAAUUCAUAUCCUUGCUACACGUAAAACAUAUUCACCCCAUCAUGUCACAGCAAAACUCUUAAAUCAACUCCAAGUCCAAAAUCCAAAAAUUUCUCUUCAUCCAUGAAAUCUAGAAUACAAGUUAUCUGCUUCCAAAGUUCAAUGGUGUAACAGGCACAAGGUAGACAUUUCCAUUACAAAUGGGAGAAAUUGGUGGGAAAGAAGGCAUAACAGGCAGCAGGCAAGUUAGCAGAACACAUUACAUCAGCCCUCAAGUCUUGAAAAAAAAAAAUCCACUGUUCUCUGAGACCAUUUACACAAUAGCGUUGCCCUCCAGACUCUGGGUAUUGGCCACACUCUCCAGACACUGAGCGGAGGCCCUUCGGCCCUGGGCUCCAGCUCCACCUUCCAGGCCCACUGGGACAGCAACUCUGCUCCCUCAGCUUUAGGCAUACCAUUUUCCUAGUCCAUGAGUGGCGACUCCACCCUUAGAAAUCCCAGAAGCCAUAGCUCCACCCUUUGAGACCCGAGAAGUCAUGGUCAUACCAUUUGAGACUGAGGCAGCUCUCUUUUCUGUAUUCCUUGUUGCUUCUGCUUCCAGGUUCCUUGGCCUCUGGGCCCCACAGGCCUCACUGAACACAUCUGUCCUGCUGGGGUAAGUGUUCCAAAGCUCUGUAGCCCCACUGAUAAGUACCUGGAGGCAUCCUAUUGAGCCAGUAAACUUUGGUCAGAAGGCACCCAGCUCUCUUGCACCAUGGGUUGGCAGGUCUAGCUCCACUGAUAGGUGACAGGAGGUACCCCACUCUACCAGGAAGCCUUCUGUGCACAGGCAUUCAGCUGUUCCGCUCCGUGGGUCAGCUCCAGCAUUCUUUGGCACAGGUCUCCUGGUUCUUCCACUGUUGGUUUUCUGCCGCUGCUUCUCCUGGUCUGCGCCAUUUCCAGUGUAACAGCUAUCUUCACUUCCUUCUAAGUCCUUAAUCCAUUCACAGUUUCAAAGCCACUUCCACAUUUUGGGUAUCUGUUAGAGCAGCACCCCGCUCUUGGUACCAAAUUCUGUCUUAGUCAUCUAGUGCUUCUAUAAUAGAAAACCACAAGUGGAUGGCUUCAACAAACAGAAGUUUAUUCUCUCACAGUGCAAAUUUUAGGGUGUCAGCUCGAGCGAAAGGCUUUCUCUUUCUCUGUCAGCUCUGGAGGAAGGUCCCUGUCAUCAAUCUUCUUCUGGUCUAGGAGCUUCUCUGCACAGGAACCCUGAAUCCAAAGGAUGUGCUCUGCUCCUGGCACUGCUUUCUUGGCGGUAUGAGGGCCCCCUGUCUCUCCGCUUGCUUCUGUCUUUUAUAUCUCAAAAGAGAUUGGCUUAAGACACUAUCUAAUCUUGUAGCUCUCAUCAACAUAACUGACACUAAUUCAUCUCAUUAACAUCAUAAUGAUAGGAUUUACAACACAUAGGAAAAUCACAUCAGAUGACAAAAUGGUAAACAAUCAUACAGUACUGGGAAUCACGACCUAGCCAAGUUGACAGGUAUUUUGGGGAGACACAAUUCAAUCCAUGACAGCAACCAACCUUUAGGUUAGCAGCCAAACUUUGAACCACUAUGCCACCAGUUCUAGGGUAAAGGCCUAAUAAUUUGCAUUUUUAAUAAGCUCCCAGGUGAUGCUGAUGCUGAUGCAGCUGGCCCAGGAGCCACCCUUUAGCUUUCUACAUAAAUUAUUCUCAGUCAGAGAAUACAAAUGGGCUAUUAAAUAGAGGGCCUUUACAAGGAAGAUACUUAAGUAAUACAAUAGAAAUUAGGUAAUUCUCAUUUAGGCAUUUACCUCCAAACAAAGAAUGCCUGGCGGACCGAGAGUAGCCAGGGUGCUGCUAUGGGUUUGAGAAACUGAAUGACCGAGUGUGUAUCCUGCUUCCACCACUUGCUGGCUUUGUGUCUCCAGGCAGAUGACUGAAUCCACUGUGCUUCAGCCUCCUCAUCUGUACAGAUGAUAGUAGUCCCUACACCAUGGGGUUAUGAGACAAAUUCAAUGAGAUGAUGUAUGCCAAGAUUUUAGCCCAGGAGCUGGCAUGUAGUGAGAGCUGCAUUAUCGCAUGAAGACAUUAAUAACAUACCAAAGGAAAGGUAAUAUGUAUGAAUACAUGUACACUGGAGAGAUUUAAAGCUAUCACCUGUCUUCUGAUAUCGGCAUGUUGGGUUUGAGGCUCGUUUACAUAGGAGAUUUGUCUUGUGCAGAAUGUCACCUGAAGUAAGGCCAAGGUGAGUUCUCUAGCAUAUCAAGUGUCAUGAGCUUACUGAGGGCGAGUUUUAUCUCAAAUGUGCUUCAGACUGUUUCAGAUGAGGUUGGUGAAGACGUGUGUGGUCUGCUUGUGGAUGAGCAGCUGCUGUGAGCGGUGGCAGUGGCAUUGUUGGUGGGAGCAGACAGAAUGGAGAGAUGGGAGAAACAGGUGGAGAAGAGGGAGAAAGCAGAGACAGAGAAAGGUAAGGCAAAAAAAAAAGUGGGAGAGAAUCGAGAAUUCAGGACUUUCUUGUAUCAAAAUACUUUUUAAAAAACAACUUAUUGUGCUUUAGGUGAACAUUUACAGCACAAGUUAGUUUCUCAUUCAAAAAUUUAUACACAAGUUGUUUUGUGAUGUUGGUUACAAUUCCCACCUUGUGUCAACGCUCUUUUUCUUUCCCUUUCCACCCUGGGUUCCCCACAUCCAUUGUCCAGGUUUCCUGCCCCUUCCUGCCUUCUUAUAUAAGUCAUCCCAUUGCCUUCUUGCCUGCAUGGUUUCUGCUGAGUAGUCCAAGCUUAUUCUUAUUGACUCUCCUUUGUAGGUGGCUUUUCGUUUAUCCCUAGCUGCUCUUAAAAUUCUCUCUUUACCUUUGGUCUUGGCAAGUUUGAUUAUAAUAUGUCUUGGUGACUUUCUUUUAAAAUCUACCUUUUGUGGAGUUUGUUGAGCAUCUUGGAUAGUUAUCUUCUCCUCUUUUACAAUAUCAGGGAAGUUUUCUGCCAACAGAUCUUCAACAAUUCUCUCUGUAUUUUCUGUUAUCCGUCCCUGUUCUGGUACUCCAUUCGCUCGUAGGUUAUUUCUCUUGAUAGAGUCCCACAUGAUUCUUAAGGUUUCUUCAUUUUUUUAAAUUCUUUUAUCUGAUUUUUCGUCAAAUAUAUUGAUGCCAAGUGCUUUAUCUUCAAGUUCAGAAAUUCUGCCUUCUACUCGCUUAAUUCUGCUCCUCUGACUUUCUAUUGAGUUGUCCACUUCUGUGAUUUUAUUGUUAAUCUUCUGAAUUUCUGAUUGCUGUCUGUGGAUUUUUCUAGCUUACUAAAUUUUUCAUUAUGUUCCUGAAUAAUGUUUCUAAUUUCUUGAGCUGCUUUAUCUGUGUGUUCCUUGGCUUGUUCUGCAUAGUGCCUGAUUUCCUUCCUGAUGUCUUGAACGGUUCUGUAUAUUAAACUUUUGUAUUCCGCUUCUGGUAAUUCCAGGAAGGCACUUGCAUCUAGAAGAUCCCUUGAUUCUUUCUUUUGAGAGUGUGUUGAGGUGAUCAUCGUCUGUUUCUUUAUGUGACUUGAUCUCGACUGUUGUCUCCGACCCAUCUAUAAGUUAUUGUAUUAGUUUACUUUAUGUUUGCUUACUGUGUUGUAGCUUCUUGCUUUGUUUUGUUUUGACAUACCCAAAUGGGUUGCUUGAGUGAGCUAGCUUGAUUAUUUUUGCCUUUGGAGCUCUGACAUCCUAUCCCCGUAUGGGUAGAGCUGUUAUUGGGUAUAUCAGUCUAGGAAUCCAUUCAUUUUUCUUGCAUGAAUUCAGCUCAGAUGUCCAGGUAGCUGAUCAUCGAGUGUGUGGUACAGGCUCUGUCCUACAAUCUUAGAGGGGCAGGGGUGAUUGGUAUAGGUACCAGUAUCUGGUUGCAGCAGGAGGUCACACUCUGAAGAAGGCAGGGGGCUGAGAAUUAUCCCCCAAGUGUCUCUGAGGAAAGCAUGUCCCUGUUCCCUAGAGCAUACAGGUGUGUGGGUUCUGCAGACAGACCAUGGGCACCCAAUGUUUUUGGUUGUGAGGACUGGGAGGUACCAGUUAUCCCUGGACCCUUGUCUCAGGUGGCUGGGUGACCUGAGUGGAGCCACCAGUCCUCAAGCUCCUGAUGUGGGUAGGUGAGGACCCUGUUUAAUAGGCAAAGCAAUGUCAAACAUCAAACACCCACCUCUCCAGUUGUAGUCUGCCAACAAGGGCCUAUUCUCCUGAAAUAGGCCCACACAGGUCCAUGCAGAGGGGAAAAGUACUCAAAGUCCAUGAACCAUUUAUGCCUGGACAGGAGCCACUUCUGUCCUGAGCUCCCCUGGUUAGUGGAGCUGGCAAAUUAUCUUUUCUCCCAAUUGCAAAUUUUUUCCUCCUCCAAGGCCAGGAGGAUGGCUCUAGGUGCUCAACAGGGCCUAUCUCAGGCCCAGGGAAUUCAGCCACUGAAGUUGGCUUGGGAGUGGGGGAGGGGGGCAUGAUAAAAUAUAUGCAAGUACUUAGCUUUUGCUGAGGGCGCCGUUCUUCUCUCGUUCUGGAGAUGUGAGUAGGCUGCGUGGCUGGCUGCUUAUCCCUGAGGAAACUGUGGCCACUUCUGGGAAUGGUGCCUGAGGGCUCCCAGCAAUUCAGGUCCUGUAACUCUUCUCCGCUGUUGAACUGUCUCUUCCUGCCCUGCCCCUCAGUUCAUUUUCUAACCUUGUCUUUGAUGUUCAGGGCUCCUAGCUUGUCAUAAACAUACUCAUUUCACUUGUUUUUUCGGGUUUUUGUUGUAAGAGGGCUCACCAGAAGCAUCUGUCUUUUCUGUCAUCUUGGUCCCGCCUCCCCCUUCCUGCCUUCUUGUCUAUGCUUUUGGGCAGAGUUUGCCCAUUUGAUCUCAAAUACUUGAUUGAACUAAGAACCACAUUCCUCACGUGUGUUACUGUUUCUUUAUAACCCUCUCUAAUCUUGGACUGAAACUUGGUCUUCCAGAAUCACUCCAGUGCUGAGUUAGCAGGGUUUCAGGGAUCAUGGUCUCAUGGGUUCCUCCUGUCUCUGUCAGACCAGUCUGUUCUUUUUUUUUGUGUAUGUGUGUGAAUUUUAAUUUUGUUUUACAUUUUUCUCCUGCUCUGCCCAGGACCUCUGUUGUGAUCCCUGUCAGAGCAAUCCAUAUCAAAAUACUUUUGAUUUAAGUUACAUUUCCGCCUUUCUAAGCAUUCUAAUGGUAUUCACCUGUGCUUAUUUAUUUACACCAGAACCUCUGAGGAGCCUGUUUGGUACUAGACAAUGCCCUCUUGGAACUUCUGAGAUCCAGGCCAUUAGCAAGUAUGAUAAAAAUGGAGGUGAACAAAGCAUGGUCCCUCCCUGUCCCCAAGGAGCAUGCCAACAAGUAGGAGAGAAAGGCAUUGAAGAAUAAAUAGAAUUUCCUUAGACAAAGGAGGAGAGAAAAAUAUUACCAAGUCUGGACUUCCAAGAACAGACCUGGUUAGAAUCCUGGCUUCAGCCCUAACUAACUAUGAGAUUGUGGACAAGUGGUUUGCCCUCCCUAAACCCUCAAUGUACUCAGGCAUAUUAUGGAGGUAGUUUUUCUGGAAAGGGCUAUUGAUACAGGAACAGGCUUAGUAUACACCGUAUAUUGCCUGGCAAGCAUGGUAGGUCCUUAAUAAUUGAAGUCGGGAAUAACUGGUUUGUUUGAUGCUAGUGUUUUGCAGAUAGAGUACAGAGUUCAGGCUAGUGGUUUUCAGCUACGUUUACUGUGACUAUCGCAGUGCGAAGAACAGAAGAAAUUGCCUAGAGAAGAGGCAAGAAGUGGAGUAUAAGCUCAUGCCAGCAUGAAGAAUAAUUGCCGUUUACCAGAACAUGCGUGAGCCUUGUCCUCUGGGUACAUGAGAGAGCGAGCAGAGCAGUCAACAGUUUCUACUGCAACAAUGAAAGCACAGGGAGAGGAACAAGUAGAUGAUGUUAUGACUGCGGGUGCUUCUGUCAACAUGGCAAUUCCAGAAGCUAGACUAUAUGAGGAAGAACAUGACAUCAGGAUUGCUGGAAGACUCAUUAACAACCUGAGUUAUGCAGAUGACACAACCUUGCUUGCUGAAAGUAAAGAGGACUUGGAGCACUUACUGAUGAAGAUCAGACUACAGCCUUUAGUAUGGAUAACACCUCAACAUAAAACAAAAAUCCUAACAAUUAGACCAGCGAGCACCAUCGUGAUAAAUGAGGAAAAGAUUGACUUUGUCAAGGAUUUCAUUUUACUUGGAUCCACAGUCAACACCCAAUCAAUCCAGCAAUCAAGAAAUCAAACAAUGUAUUGCAUUGGGCAGAUCUGCAAAAGACUUCUUUAAAGUGUUAAAAAGCAAAGAUGUCACCUUGAGGACUAAGGCGUGGUUGACCCAAGCCAUGGUAUUUUCAAUCACCUCAUAUGUAUGUGAAAGCUGAACAAUGAAUAAAGAAGAUCACAGAAUUGAUGCUUUUGGAUCAUGGUGUUGAUAAAGAAGUAUUGAGUAUACCAUGGACUGCCAGAAGAAUGAACAAACCUGUCUUGGAAGAAGUACACCAGACUGCUCCUUAGAAGCAAGGAAGGUAAGAUCAAGUCUCAUGGAUGGUGCGAUCAAGCCUCACAGACUUUGGACGUGCUAUCAGGAGGGAGCAGACCCUAGAGAAGAACAUCAUGCUUGAUCAAGUAGAGGGUGAGCAAAAAAGGGAAAGACCCUCAAUGAGAUGGAUUGACACAGUGGCUGCAACAAUGGGCCCAAACAAAGCAACAAUUGUGAGAAUGAUGCAGGGCCGGGCAGCAUUUCAUUCUGUUGUACACAGGGUCACUAUGAGUCAGAACUGACUUGACAGCACCUAACAACAAUAGUUUCUAUAGAAUUUUUUGAAAACUCAAAUUAUAAAGCAGUGUUUGACAUAGGGUUUUCCAGAAAUGCCUUAGCACUCCAAAGAUAAUCACAUUCUGCUUUUUUGUAAUUAAUGUGUGUUUUUGACAGUAACAGCAAUAUUUAAGUACUGGUGGUAGAUUAAAAAUAAAAUUAACCUAUUAAUUAAGGAGAGUAGAUGGAUAAAGGUUGAACAAAUACAAAAAAACCUAUGUUGAAAAAUAUUAUUUUUAACGAAAAUAUGCAUCUUAUCACCUUCUAAAUGGUAACAGUGUCUUUGUUAAGUUUGAAAUAUGUGAACAGACAGAAGGAUUUUAUUUUUAAGUAGCUCAUGUCCAUGCAAAUUAUAAGUUCCUAAAUAGUCAAGUAGGCAGCAGUUAGAAUACGAAGCUCUAGGGUAUGGUUUUUCAGCCUUGGCAGUAUUGACGUUUCAGACCUGCUGGUUCUUUGCUGCGGGGGCUGUCUUGCGCAUUGUGGGAUGUUUCAUUGCAAUGCUGGCCUCUACCCACCAGAUACCAGUAGUCCACCUCCUUCCCCUUGUGAUAAUAACCAAAAAUGUCUCCAGACAUUGCCAAAUGUGCCCUGAGGGAUAAAAUUGCCUCUGGUGGAAGACCCGUUGUUCUAGGGAUUUGGGAUAGGAAUACACACUUUAAGUUUCCGGUGAAUUUUUUUUUUUUAAAUCACCAGUCUCAACUGUGACUGGCAAAUCAUGAAGGCCAAUGUAAAAUGAGAGGUCACCCAGUCAUAGCUGAAAUAAACUACACGACUUUGUCCUCAUUCACAGCUCUAGGAGUGUGCUGGAAAGCAAGCACAAGAAAGACCUCUAGUCCCUACCUCCUUUCCUUACCUACUUUUCAUCAGAAAACAUUCCAAUGACUCUGUUUUCAGUGCCAGUUCAUUUUAGUAAUGUAGCUCCAAUGGUUUAUAAUUACAGCAGAUGAUGAGUGAUCUGCCUACUAAGAAGAGUUCAUUUCUUCCUGGUGAAUGAAAGCACAGAAGGAGCCAUGUUGCCAUAGAGGCCUGUGUACUUCUGAAUUUGAUUUGACAAGCUAGUCAUGACAUCAGCAAGAGGUCUCCAGAAGAAAGUAACUGAAACCAGAAUAACUGUGUUGACUGCCCUGGCAUGCAUUCUCAAGAUCUUUUUUAAUGGCUAGAGCCCUGGUGGCACAAUGGUUAAGAAUUCCGCUGCUAACCAAAGGUGGUGCGAACAAUAAACAUGCUCAGGUGCUAAUAGAAAGGUUAGAGGUCAAAUCCACCCAGAGGCACCUCGGAAGAAAGGCCUGAACUAGAGUGGAAUAUACAGCAUUUCCUAAGUGUAUACAGCAUUUUCUUGCUGGGCCAGGAAACAGCAUUUUCAGGGACCAACCAUCGAGGUCUCUGCUGGCACUUCUGUUCAGAUACCAGUUGGGUGAAGACAGACAGAGCAUUUAAGCCCUUCCAGGGAUACCUCCAAAAUGCAGUGACUUCUGUAAUGCGGAUGCCUCCCGGCGACACCUCUUUGAUCAGCUCAAAGUGGUUAUCAUCCUGAGGCUUAUUCCACCAGCUUCUGGUACAGCCACUGGGCAAUGCCCCACCCUUUAGAACUGCCUGGUGUGGACUUUAUCCUGGAGAUGUUUGAAAGUAUUUGGUAGGUUUCAAACCAGGGAGGGAUGUGAUCAUAUUGGCAUUUUAAAUUACUCAGCAGCUGUGUUGUUGUGAACAGAUUGGAGUGAAGCCAGGUUGGAGUUAGAAGACUGUGGAAACAGAUUAGGUGAGUGGUGAAGAAGGUUUGGGCAAGAGAAGGGAUUGAAAUGAGAGGACAAACUUCAUAAUCAGUCAAGGGAGAGAAUUAGUGGGACUUGGUGAUGGCCCAGAUGGGGGAAAGGGUAAAUGAGAGGAGGAAUAUAAAUUCACGUCAAGGUGACCAGGUGGAUGGUCAACCAGAGUGGAGAUACAGAGGGAGGUAUACAUUUUGGUGGGAAGAGAAGGAAUUCUGCUUUGGAGGUGUUAAGUUCAAGGUGAUAUCCAGGUGGAUAUUUAAACUCAUGAGGAAGUUUGACCUUGGGAAGUUGAUUUGGGUAUCUCCAGUAAAUUGAUGCUAAUGAAAACUUUCUUCAGUGGAGAUAAUUUCACUGGGGGAGAGGAUAUGGACUAUGAAGGGAAAAACACUCCAAACAAAAUUAAUUAGUACCUGAAAGAGUAUGGAGAAGAAAUCUAUAUUUAUGUUAGCUCUUAGACCUGAUUCCUUUGCGUGACCUCAAGUUCUAACUGAAUUGAGCUUCAGAAAUCAUGAAGUCAUUUUGAAUCUUGGCCAAAUAUGUUGUUAAUUCAAGCAUAUAUCCAUAAACUUAAUGCACAUGACAUAAGUUUUUCUAAUGGCUCUUCCUCUUCCAUAUUAUGAAAAAAUGAGGUUGUGUAUGAAGAAUUAAGAUUCCAAAGCUCUCUGUCACAGGCAGUGAAUCACUUACUGCUAUAGCAGAUACUUUUGUUUAUUAGGAAAUACAGAUAUGUUACAAACAUCCUUUUUAUGUAGCUUAGAAAUUACAACCUACGUGGCUAAUCCUGAUUGGUUUUCUCUGUGGCUUAAAGAUGUUCUAUAAAAAACUCCUAAAUCUGUUUUAAUAUUUGUUAUCUUGAUUAGAAUUUCACUUGAGCAGCAUGUGUCGUUUUUCUGCUUAGUUUACCAAUUUAAUGUUGAGAGCAAAUGUCAAUUUCAGCCCCGGCCAUGACAGAGUAACUGGUACUGGACUUAUCAUACCACAGUAAACGGUUAUAAAACUGGAUAUAGUAGAUAAACCCAAACCAAACCUGUUGCCUUUAAGUUAAUUUUGAUUUGUAACAACCCUGUAGGACAGAGUAGAAUUGCCCUAUUGGGUUUCCAAGGAGCAGCUAGUGGAUUUGAACUGCCGACCUUUUGAUUAACAGCCAUAGCUCUUAACCACUACACCACCAGGGCUCCAAAGUGAAUAAGGUAACUGUUUUGAGUCCUUGGAAAAUGGAAAGCUGGCAUUAUAUGUGAUUCUUGACAAGAGGAAAGCACUCAAGAUCUCCUAAUAGCCACAAAGGGAGGAUGAGGCCACACAGCAGAAAGCAGUGGUCUCACUGAACUGAGGUGUCCAUUUUAGUUUGAACUUCAGAGCUGCUGAUGUGGCUGAAAUUUGAGAGUCAGGGUACUAGAUAGGAGAAAGUUGUACACAGUGGGACCCAGAAGGGGGAACCAUGGGCCUCACUGUAUGUCAUUAGCUAAAAGCUGGACAAUGCAUACACAAAGUAGUACUCUAUGAGACCUAGCAGAGAAUGGCUUCUGCAGGGCUAAAUGCUUAACAGACAUACCAGAAGUCGUUUAGCACUGAGACAUGGAAUCCUGGCCUAGCCAAAGUGUAAAGAUCUUACUGAAAAGCUCAAGAACUCAGAUGAGACAAUGGAAAAGCCACACUUUAGGAAUAAACCAAAAAAACCCCAAACCCAUAGCCAUCAAGGCAAUUCUGACUCAUAUAGACCCUAUAGAAAUAGAGGAAUAAGAACCAGAAUAUAGAAUGAUGGUCAUGUUCUAGAACUGAGAGUAAAACUUAAUUAGAUCCACUCUAACAGUAUAAAAGCAAGUCUGAGAGAGUUGAGUGGGUCUUCCCUGCCAGUAAUUUCACUGACUGCAAGACCAAUACUCAAUACUGUGAGGUAUGAAAAUACUUCACAGGUUACCAGACAUCUUGUAAUUUACGAUAUAUGUGAAGAAACAGGAAGAUGUGAUCCCUCAUUGUGUUAGUCAUCCAGUGCUGCCAUAACAGAAAUACCACAGUGGAUGGCUUUAACAAAGAGAAAUUUAUUUUCUCACAGUCUAGUAGGUUACAAGCCCAGAUUCAGGACAUCGGCUACAGGGGGAAGGCUUUCUCUCUCUGUUGACUCUGGAGGGAGGUCCUUGUCCUCAAUCUUCCCCUGGUUGAAGAGCUUCUCAGGCGUAGGGACCCCAUGUUCAAAGGACACGCUCUGCCCCUGGUGCUGCCUUCUUGGUGGUAUGAGGUCCCCAACUCUCUGCUUGCUUCCCUUUCCUUUUAUCUCUUGAGACAUAAAAGGUGGUGCUAGGCCACACCCCAGGGAAACUCCCUUUACCUUGGAUUAGGGAGGUGACCUGAGUAAGGGUGGUGUUACAAUCCCACCCUAAUCCUCUCAACAUAAAAUUACAAUCACAAAAUGGAGGACAACUACACAAUACUGGGAAUCAUGACUUAACCAAGUUGACACAUAUUUUUGGGGGGACACAAUUCAAUCCAUGAUACCCAUCAAGAAAACUGGAAACAGAUGCCAACAUGACACAGAUAUUGGAACUAGCAGAGUUAUUCUUACAUUGUUCAAGGAUUUAAAGGAAAAUAUGGACAUGGUGCAUAAACAGAUAAGAAAUAUCACCUAAGAAAUGGUAACUGUAAAAAAUAGCCAAACGGAAAUUUUAGAACUGAAAAGUGCAAUGACUGAAAUUUAAAAUAUUCUGAAUGGGAUUAGCUAAAUAAGAGGUCAGUCAGUGAAUUUAAAGCCAUAUCAUUAAUCCUGAAAAUUCAAAAUAACCCAGAAUGAGAAACCUCUUUAUAUACACUCCAAUAGUUACAAAUUAAGACAUCUGUGGUAAAUGAGGAUGUAGAGCAAUUGCAACUCUUACACGCAGUUAAUGGGAGUGUAAGAUGGUACAACCGCUUUUGAAAACAGUGUGUUUUACUGUUAACCAUAUAUCCUAUGACCCAACAAUUUUCUUCUAUUUACCCAAGAAAAAAAUGAAAGUAUAUAUCCAGAAAAAUUUUCUACACAAAUACUCGUAGUCGUUUUACUCAUAAAGGUCCCAAAUCAAAAUAGCACAAAUGUCCAUUAAUAGCAGAAUAAAUAAAUGAAUUAUUGGGCAUUUAUUUGUACAGUAGAAUACUAUUCAGCAAUAAAAAGGAUAACUUCUGAUAUACACAACAGCAUGGAUGAAUCUCGUAAACAGUUGAAAGAAGCCAGUCACAAAAGAUUACAUAGUGUGUAAUUCCAUUUACAUAAAUUUCAAGAACAGACAAAACUAAGUUAUGAUGGUAGAAACCAGAACUUGAGUUGCCUGUGGAAGUGGUGGAACUUGACUGCAAGGGGGAACUGGAGAACUUUCUGGGGUGACCCAAAGAUUCUAUAACUUGUUUAGGAUCUUGAUUUUAUGUGUGUGCACAUUUGUCAAAACUCAUCCAUUGUUCUAUUAAAAUAUGUGUAUUUCACUGUAUAUAACUUUUGCCUUAAUUUAAAAAAAUGAAUAUUUUUAAAAACAAUAAAUUAUAGAUUAAUUCAAAUUGCUAAUUAUGAUUUCACAUAAUACAUUAAAGCAAGCUUGCUUAUAAUCCUACCAAAUACUUUAAAUACAUAAGAUAUAUUUUUGUUAAAAAUAUAAUCUGGGAGGGUGUUGUAUGGUUUGGUUUGGCUUUUUCUCCCCUUAGUCUUUUAGGGUUAAAAUUUACUUUAAAUUUCCAAUGUCUUUAGAAAGAAAGAAAAUUUGCAAAAUUUCCCAGCAUUGAAAACAUAUAUAUUCCCUAGGCAGUUCACUGAAAAGGAAUAGUCCUUGAAUCUUUUCACAAAAUGAUCUGGAGUGACAUUGAGGAACUUUAGCUAUUUUGUCCCAGGGAAUUGGAUGUUCAUUGAGAAACACGUUGGAUAAUUGAAGCCAUUCAUAUGGGAGCUGAAAGUCCAGGCAAGAAUAUGACCUUAGUUAAUUGAAAAGAAGUGGUGAUACAACAUGAAGAACACUGAUCUCUGAGAAUGACAACAAAAGGGUGGGUUAGCAUUGUUAGGGGAGGCAGAGUUCAUUUUACAGACUAGUUCUCCAGUGAUAAAGAUUUGUGAUAAUGGACUAACAUAAAAAUCUCUUCUUCUCCCUCACCCUCCUCGGAAGGCAAAAAUAACAGGGUAAAGAAGAAUCACAGGGUGAAACUAUCAGUUGGAUAUUUUCACUCUGAUAGGUAUAGCCUCAGUGGACGUGGGUACACAACAUGGUAUAACGGCAAGAACAUGGGGUUUGGAGUUAGAGAAUAACUUCUGAUAACAAACAGCUGUGUGUUUGCUGCGUGACCUUCAGCAGGCUCUUUAGCCUCGCUGACCUUGCCUUGUAGGGUCGCUGCGGGAUGAAAUAAGGCAUCACACGGAAAGUGUUUAGCAUGUAGUAUGUAAACCGAAGGUAGCCCUUCCGUCUCUUACAAAGAUAGAGCUCUGUACAAGAGAGUGAUUUGUAGGCUUUCUUGAGGAAUCAUUUUCUGAAAUGAAAAUAAACGAGGAAAGCAGUAGCCAUUCAUUGGCUAAUGCAUACGUCCCAUAUUACCGUAGCUAGGCUUGUGUUUUAUUUAGGACACCAAUGUUGUAGUUAUUAAACAGAGACCGAAUGAUUUACAAAUACUAAGUACCCUUCAAAGAGACAUGAGCAUCCAUGAAAGUUAUAUGCUUCUUGGAUUAAGCUGUUAAUCAGGAGUGUUUUAUUAUUUAUUUUCCUGGAAGAGGAAAAGUCCCACAGUUAAAAUGAUUAAGAGCUAAGUUACUAAACAUACAGUGAGCCAAAUCAUUUAAAAAUACUAGGAGCUGGCUUUCUGAGCAGCCGUGUCUUAAUAACAGACCUUAAGAGCUAAGAACAGUGUUCAGUCUUUAGAAGUCCACAUGUAAGUGUUAGACAUUUGGCUCUGCAAGAGGUGAAUUCUUAAGUCCUCAGAACAGAAAGGGUUCUGUGACAGUAGUACAGCCUUCUUUGGAAAUAACUAGACGAAAAAGAAUCAUAGGUAAGACAGAAAUAUGUUAUGACAGAACAGAAAUCGUUAGACUUUUUAGGUGAGUUUGAAUUGGUUGUUCUUAUAAUGGAUUCUGUACAUACCAUUUUCAGUUCUAUUUAAGAAGUAAAUUGUGAUAACAUUUAAUACGCAAAUACAUAAUGAGCUGUUGGAAAAAAUUACCUCUGAUUUUCAAAGAUUUAACACGUAUUGUUUCUCAGCAAAUCAAGAUAUUAAAGAAACUAUAUAACCUGCAAACCUAGAUACAAGCAUAACUUGUUCCUUCCCCUUAUAUAAUUUUUUACUAAAGAAAUAUUAGAAGUAUGUUAGAUUUUGGUUAUCACAGAAAGAUCCUGGUUUCAGAGCUCUUAGUUUUCCCUACUUUGGUUGGAUGUGUCUGGUUCUCCAUGUUGCU